UUACAUAAUACAAUACCGACCAUUCAAUACAUGCAUUAAAUAACUUCUAUCAAUAGAUUAUCGAAAAAAUUCACACUUGAACUUGAAAUGAAAUAAAAAACAAGCAGCAAUUAAGCUAUGACAUCAAAUAUAAAAGCAAAUUAACACAUAAAUAGUCUUUACUUACUUACGCCACUCCCUUGAAGGACUUUAGCCUCCUUAUAUAUGGCAGAUUUCUUAAGCUAUUUAGAUAUUCGGUAAGACAACUUUGACGAAUGAUAUUCAGAACGCACAACACAGAAAGACGAAGACAAACAUCAACGUCUCGAACCUACGAUUCCAGCGUCAGAAAGAUCCGGGCCGAUGCCCCAGACAGCGACCACUGUGACCAGUUCAUAACAGAAUAAUAGCUCCUUGUACCACGAACAUGCAACAACGGAACUUAUUAUGUAAGAUUUGGGGUUUUCACAAAGGUUGUUGCGCCUUGAUGAUGGAGGCAGGAGGCAUCUCUGAAACGUCGGUAAACUUCUAUCAGAUUACACGGCGCAACAAUCCAGAAAGUGGCCAUCUUCGUAUUCGCCGCAAAGGAAACCUCAAAACUAAAAGAAGUUCAUGGGCUAUAGGUUGGGGCGGUCAUAAUUCGAUGAAAGACGGAUGUCUUCAAGAACGUUUCAUAGCCAGAGAUCGUUAAGUCGACCACACGUCUCCACCCAGCGCACGAUAUUUAACCGAACGUCAGCUGUAAGCCGCUAUGGCAUGGCGUUUAAAAAUCGGGAUUCUUUACCUCACGAUUUGGAUUGUCACGGCUAUCAUCCCACCACAGAAGUUCGCCCAUUUCCCGUUAACGACUAGAGACAUUGCAUAACAAGAAGACAAGAUGUCAGUCGGUGCUAAGAAAAUGUGGACACGGAAUGUGCUCAAAAUCUGUUUCAAGAUUCUAAGUUAUUGAGCCGACAACCACACGCAUGUGACUAAAUGUAUGAAUGUUAUUUAUCACUUAGAUUAAAACUGGAAAAGCUAUAUUUACACAGGAGGCAUCUUGGUGACCUUUAUAUUAUUGAUGUUUUAAAGAAUAAAUUUGUUGUUCGUCCAUUACGUCUGCGCAUAACUUCUAGGUCAAUCAGAGACUACUUUUGCUGUUUAUCGCAAUUUUCCUCAGCCACAUGUGGUUCUGCUAUCAAUGCAGUCUGCAAGAGGUUACUGAAUUAUUUAAUGAAGAUUGUAUUUUACAUACUGAUAUCAGCCAGCUCCUUAAAUCAAAACAAUUGUUCUCUUCUAGUGUAUUUACUUUUAAUUAUAUUUUAUUGUGUGUUUAUUUUAGCAUUUACAAGUAAUUGCGAUCUCAGCUGUUGUCAAACAGUUUAAUAAAUGGAUUGAAUUAUUA